AGGCUUAAUACAUGCAAGUCGAGGGGCAGCAUAGGACUUCGGUUCUGAUGGCGACCGGCGCACGGGUGAGUAACGCGUACACUACCUACCUUUAACAGAGGGAUAGCCCUGGGAAACUGGGAUUAAUACCACAUAGUAUUGCAUAAUUUAUUUUUAUGCAAUUAAAGCUCCGGCGGUUAAAGAUGGGUGUGCGUUAGAUUAGCUAGUUGGUAAGGUAAUGGCUUACCAAGGCUACGAUCUAUAGGGGGCGUGAGAGCGUGGACCCCCACACGGGCACUGAGACACGGACCCGACUCCUACGGGAGGCAGCAGUAAGGAAUAUUGGACAAUGGGCGCAAGCCUGAUCCAGCCAUCCCGCGUGAAGGAUGACGGCCCUAUGGGUUGUAAACUUCUUUUAUUAGGGAAGAAACCUUUUCAUUUAUGAAGAGCUGACGGUACCUAAAGAAUAAGCACCGGCUAACUCCGUGCCAGCAGCCGCGGUAAUACGGAGGGUGCAAGCGUUAUCCGGAAUCACUGGGUUUAAAGGGUGCGUAGGCGGAUAAAUAAGUCAGAGGUGAAAGCUUCCCGCUUAACGGGAAAAUUGCCUUUGAUACUGKUUAUCUUGAAUUAUGUUUGAGUAGGCGGAAUGUGACAUGUAGCGGUGAAAUGCAUAGAAUAUGUCAUA
rnacentral:rRNA from 1 species